UACGUAGGGGGCAAGCGUUGUCCGGAUUUAUUGGGCGUAAAGAGCGUGUAGGCGGUUUGGUAGGUCCGUUGUGAAAACUCGAGGCUCAACCUCGAGACGCCGAUGGAAACCAUCAGACUAGAGUCCGGAAGAGGAGAGUGGAAUUCCUGGUGUAGCGGUGAAAUGCGCAGAUAUCAGGAAGAACACCCGUGGCUAAGGCGGCGUCGUCUAGUACGGUACUGACGCUGAGACGCGGAAAGCGUGGGGAGCGAACAGG
rnacentral:rRNA from 1 species